rnacentral:tRNA from 1 species
GGGGUCGUAGCUCAGUUGGUAGAGCGCUGCGUUCGCAAUGCAGAGGUCAGGGGUUCGAUUCCCCUCAGCUCCA